CCUACGGGUGGCUGCAGUGGGGAAUAUUGCACAAUGGGGGAAACCCUUAUCCAGCGACGCCGCGUGAGGGAAGAAGGUUUUCGGAUUGUAAACUCCUGUCAGUGGGGACGAUAAUGACGGUAUCCACCGAGUAAGCCCCGGCUAACUACGUGCCAGCAGCCGCGGUAAUACGUAGGUGGCAAGCGUUGCCCGGAAUUACUGGGUGUAAAGAGAGCGUAGGCGGGAUAGCAAGUCAGAAGUGAAAACUAUGGGCUUAACUCAAAAACUGCUUUUGAAACUGUUAUUCUUGAGUGUAGGAGAGGUAGGUGGAAUUCUUGGUGUAGGGGUAAAAUGCGUAGAGAUUAAGAGGAAUACGAGUGGCGAAGGCGACCUGCUGGACCUUAACUGACGCUGAGGCGCGAAAGCGUGGGGAGCAAACAGGAUUAGAUACCCCGGUAGUC
rnacentral:rRNA from 1 species